GAAGUCCGGGACGAGCUUCGAGCUUUUGUUGGUUGGGAUUGAAAGUUGACUAUUGAUCCUGUGCUAGCGGAAGGUGGUGAGGAGUUGUUUUAUUGUGAAAGGACCAAUUGUAGGUGAUCUAAGAUGUGAAGAAAAGAAAAAGAAUUGGAAAAAAAAAGAAAAAAAACACUUUGGGUGCA